rnacentral:rRNA from 1 species
AACGCGUACGGGUGUUGGGAGACAUUGCCCGGAGAUGGAUUCUGAGACACGAAUCCAGACCCUACGGGGUGCAGCAGGCGCGAAAACUUGGCAAUGCGAGCAAUCGUGACCAGGGAACUCCAAGUGCGUAGGGUAAGACCUACGCUUUUCUUGACUCUUCAAAGGUCUUGGAAUAAGGGGUGGGUAAGGACGGUGCCAGCCGCCGCGGUAAUACCGGCGCCUCAAGUGGUAGUCGCUUUUAUUGGGCCUAAAACGUCCGUAGCCGGUCUGGUGCAUUCGUGGGUAAAUCAACCCGCUCAACGGGUUGAAUUCUGCGAGCACGGCCAGACUUGGGACCGGGAGAGGCGUGGGGUACUCUCAGGGUAGGGGUAAAAUCCUGUCAUCCUGAGAGGACCACCUGUUGCGAAGGCGCCACACUAGAACGGAUCCGACGGUCAGGGACGAAACCUAGGGGCACGAACCGGAUUAGAUACCCGGGUAGUCCUAGGUGUAAACGCUGUGGACUUGAUGUUGGGGGCGCUCCGAGCGCUCUCAGUGUCGAAGCGAAGGUGAUAAGUCCACUGCCUGGGGAGUACGGUCGCAAGGCUGAAACUUAAAGGAAUUGGCGGGGGAGCACUGCAACCUGAGGAUUGUGCGGUUUAAUUGGAUUCAACGCCGGG